rnacentral:tRNA from 1 species
CAGGCUGUAGUUCAAUUGGCUAGAAUUUACGCAUGGGGUGCGUAAGAUUGUGGGUUCGAGUCCCACCAGCCUGA